rnacentral:rRNA from 1 species
CAAAAACAUGUCUUUUUGAUUAUAAUUUAAAGUCUAACCUGCCCAAUGAGGAGUUAAAUGGCCGCGGUAAUUUGACCGUGCAAAGGUAGCAUAAUCAUUAGUUUUUUAAUUGAAAGCUGGAAUGAAUGGUUGGACGAGAAAAUAACUGUCUCAAUUUAAUUGGAAUUAGAAUUUUAUUUAUAAGUAAAAAAGCUUAUAUGAAUUUAAAAGACGAGAAGACCCUAUAGAAUUUAAUAUAUUAAUAUGUUUAUUAUUUUAGAAUUUUUAUUUAUAUAUAUAGAAGUAUAUUUUGUUGGGGCGAUAGAAAAAUUAAUUGAACUUUUUUUAUAUUUUAACAUUAAUGUAUGUGUAAGUGAUCCGUUUAUUACGAUUAAAAGAUUAAAUUACCUUAGGGAUAACAGCGUAAUUUUUUUUUAGAGUUCUUAUCGAAAAAAGAGUUUGCGACCUCGAUGUUGGAUUAAAAUUAACCUUUGGUGUAGGGGCU